GGAAUAUUGGACAAUGGGGGCAACCCUGAUCCAGCCAUGCCGCGUGUGUGAAGAAGGCCUUCGGGUUGUAAAGCACUUUCAGAGGUGAGGAAAGGUGAGUGGUUAAUACCCGCUUACUGUGACGUCAGCCUCAGAAGAAGAACCGGCUACCUCCGUGCCAGCAGCCGCGGUAAUACGGAGGGUGCGAGCGUGAAUCGGAAUAACUGGGCGUAAAGCGCGCGUAGGUGGUUGAGUCAGUCAGAUGUGAAAGCCCCGGGCUUAACCUGGGAAUUGCACCUGAUACUGCUUGACUAGAGUACGGUAGAGGGCAGUGGAAUUUCCUGUGUAGCGGUGAAAUGCGUAGAUAUAGGAAGGAACACCAGUGGCGAAGGCGACUGCCUGGACCGAUACUGACACUGAGGUGCGAAAGCGUGGGUAGCAAAC
rnacentral:rRNA from 1 species